rnacentral:lncRNA from 1 species
CUGGCUCAUCUAUUAGGCGUGCUAUCUGCAACUGGUUGUCACCGAAUCUCUCGAGACAACAGGUUCUGGUGUACGUACACAAUUCUAGUUGGCGGAGCCAACAAUGUUCUGGUAGAAACAAUAACCAAUAGAGAGCAAAAACAUUUUAAGCAUGAACCAUCAACUUUAACUUUACAUAAAACCGAGCUUAAUAGCUCAAACAUGCAUUUCGUAAAUAAAGCCUCACCUGAUUUGGAGAAAAUCUAAACAAUAUAACUCAGCUGAUCAAGAGCCUAAAUAUCCUCUUCUGUAGGACCUACAAGAUAAGUUCUCAUCAUAGUUCUAAAAUCAAGCUUAACCUUCAUGACUUGUCAUCAUUUUCUAACUAGAUUCGCAACACCCGGGUUUUCAUAAAUUCAACAUGAAACUUAAAAACCAUUUUCUUGGCUAAGGGUCCACUUUUACUUUAAAAACUCAACUUAAAAAUAAAUUUUCUUACAAAGAUCUGUAAGACUUUAGUAUAUAAAUUAUUUCACAUUCUAAAUUAAACCAUCAAUCAAUUAUAACCAAAUCAUAAAAAUGCAGCCCAAAAUAAUUAAUGACCCAAGUUUUAAAAAAAAUGCAGCCCACUCAGCCCAAACUGAGCCCAAUACUUCCUCGGUCCUAACCCAAAUUCUUAUCCCUUAUUUAUCAGUUCACGUCUCGUCUCUCUCUCUCUAUAACACGCCCAAGCUCUCUUUCUCUCUCUCUCCAGAUAACCUCCGCCACCGCCCCUUGAUUCGGCGAAGUCGCCGGUGCCAGCCACCCUCCUCAUUCUUCCUCACCUCUCUGAUCUCUCACUUACUACCUCCCUCGUUCCCCUCAUCUCCUCCCUCACCAAAAAUUCCCAAAUCAGCAACCCUAGGUCCUCUUUCCUUCGAUUUCCGGCGAGGUUACCGCCGGAACCGCCCCCUCUGCUUCAGCCAACAGCAGCGGUCAGCCGGACCACCGCCAUCGCCGCCUCCCUCAUCCUCUCUGACAUCGCCGCCCCACACCCUCUGUUUCAGCCGGAGAGCAGCAGCAGUAGCUAUCCGCCACCGCCACGCCGAACUCUUCCCUCUCUGGACUGAUAGCCACGGUUCUACACUCUCUCUCCGGCGAGAUGCCGCCGCCAUCCACCGGCGUCGCGGCCACCACGCCACCGCCGACAGUAGCCCUCUGGUCCUCUCUCCUCCAGUCUUCGACUCAUAACCCCAGCAGUAGCCUCUCAAAAUUCACACAACAAAACACAAAUCGGUUCUUGCAUUACAAAGCUUUGAUUACCUAAUUACAGAAAAUGCAUGUAUAUAUGCGUUCAUACAUUGUAUAAGCAAAGUCAAUUUAUAUGCCAUACUAUGCUUGCUUUCUGUUUCAAGAUUCCUUGUUAAUGUGAUGGUUCUUUAUGAAAUAGAUUACUGAUUAUGGCAUGAAUAUGUGAGUUGGUUUACCUCUGUGAAAGUAAAUUUCGGUUUCUUGAAUUUAUGGCCGAGAAUGGGCUGUGGAAGAACUGUUGAUUUUGUAGAUUAUAAAUACUUGUAGGUAUUCUUGAGCGAUUGUGAGAGUUCUUGAAAUUGAGAUUUGAGAGAUAGAAGUUUGAUGGGGAAUGGGAUGAACUGAAUUGAAUUGGUUGGAAGGAGAAUUAAUUCUCGUUGGUGAUUAGCUAAUUUGUGGUUGAAGAAGUUGAAUGAGUGGGGUGUUAAAUAGGUGAAAACGAGCUGAGUGGAUGCAUCUUCUUCUUUCAAUAAAAACAAAGUAAGAGUGAAAUAUCUGGUUGGUUCACCA